GUCCUUUUGAGUUUAAUUUAAGGUCUGAUCUGCCCACUGAAAUUUAUUUUAAAUGGCCGCAGUAAUUUGACUGUGCAAAGGUAGCAUAAUAAUUAGUUUUUUAAUUAAAAGCUUGUAUGAAAGGUUGGACGAGGUAGAAUCUGUCUCUAUUUAAAUUAAAUUAGAAUUUAACUUUUAAGUCAAAAGGCUUAAAUUUAUAUAAAAGACGAGAAGACCCUAUAGAUCUUUAUAAUUUAAACUUUAUUGUUAAUUAUGUAUUUUUAAUAUUUUAUGGUUUAAAUUAUUUUAUUGGGGUAAUAGGAAGAUUAGGUUAAUUCUUUUUUUUUAUUUACAUUAAUUUAUGUUUAUUGAUGAUCCAAUUUUAUUGAUUAUAAGAUUAAGUUACCUUAGGGAUAACAGCGUAAUUUUUUUAGAGAGUUCAUAUCGAUAAAAAAGUUUGCGACCUCGAUGUUGGAUUAAAAAUUAUUUUAGGUGUAGAAGCUUAAAGAUUUGGUCUGUUCGACCAUUAAAUUUUUACAUGAUCUGAGUUCAGACCGGCGUAAGCCAGGUCGGUUUCUAUCUUUAUUAAGUUAAAAUAUUUUAGUACGAAAGGACCGAGUAUUUAAUAUAUUGAUAUUUGUUCUAUGAAUUUUAUUAAA
rnacentral:rRNA from 1 species